rnacentral:rRNA from 1 species
AGAUUGAACGCUAGCGGGAUGCUUUACACAUGCAAGUCGAACGGCAGCGCGGACUUCGGUCUGGCGGCGAGUGGCGAACGGGUGAGUAAUGUAUCGGAACGUACCCAGUAGCGGGGGAUAACUACGCGAAAGCGUGGCUAAUACCGCAUACGCCCUUUGGGGGAAAGCGGGGGACCUUCGGGCCUCGCACUAUUGGAGCGGCCGAUAUCGGAUUAGCUAGUUGGUGAGGUAAAGGCUCACCAAGGCGACGAUCCGUAGCUGGUUUGAGAGGACGACCAGCCACACUGGGACUGAGACACGGCCCAGACUCCUACGGGAGGCAGCAGUGGGGAAUUUUGGACAAUGGGGGCAACCCUGAUCCAGCCAUCCCGCGUGUGCGAUGAAGGCCUUCGGGUUGUAAAGCACUUUUGGCAGGGAAGAAAAGGUGCCGGCGAAUACCCGGCGCCGCUGACGGUACCUGCAGAAUAAGCACCGGCUAACUACGUGCCAGCAGCCGCGGUAAUACGUAGGGUGCAAGCGUUAAUCGGAAUUACUGGGCGUAAAGCGUGCGCAGGCGGCUCGGAAAGAAAGAUGUGAAAUCCCAGGGCUUAACCUUGGAAUGGCAUUUUUAACUCCCGAGCUAGAGUAUGUCAGAGGGGGGUAGAAUUCCACGUGUAGCAGUGAAAUGCGUAGAGAUGUGGAGGAAUACCGAUGGCGAAGGCAGCCCCCU